rnacentral:rRNA from 1 species
AUUGAACGCUGGCGGCAGGCCUAACACAUGCAAGUCGAGCGAGCGGCGGACGGGCGAGUAAUGUCUGGGAAACUGCUUGAUGGAGGGGGAUAACUACUGGAAACGGUAGAUAAUUCCGCACACCAUCAGAUGUGCACAGAUGGGAUUAGCUAGUAGGUGGGGUAAUGGCUCACUUAGGCGACGAUCCCUAGCUGGUCUGAGAGGAUGACCAGCCACACUGGAACGGAGACACGGUCCAGACUCCUACGGGAGGCAGCAGUGGGGAAUAUUGCACAAUGGGCGCAAUCCUGAUGCAGCCAUGCCGCGUGUGUGAAGAAGGCCUUCGGGUUGUAAAGCACUUUCAGCGAGGAGGCGUUACCCGCAGAAGAAGCACCGGCUAACUCCGUGCCAGCAGCCGCGGUAAUAC